GUAACUUCAGCAGGACAUUUACUGAAAUAGAAAGAUUACAAAGAAGCAUGGCAUGACCCCUACAAAAGGAUGACACACAAAUUCAUGGAACACCCUGUAUUUUU